rnacentral:rRNA from 1 species
AUGAACGCUGGCGGCGUGCUUAACACAUGCAAGUCGAACGGGGAUAAGACAUCGGAAGAGCUGCUUGCAGAAUGGAAGAAGUCAUAUUCUAGUGGCGGACGGGUGAGUAACGCGUGGGCAACCUGCCUUAUACAGGGGGAUAACAGCUGGAAACAGCUGCUAAUACCGCAUAAGCGCACAGCGGCGCAUGACGCAGUGUGAAAAACUGAGGUGGUAUAAGAUGGGCCCGCGUCUGAUUAGCUGGUUGGGAGGGUAACGGCCUACCAAGGCGACGAUCAGUAGCCGGCCUGAGAGGGCGGACGGCCACAUUGGGACUGAGACACGGCCCAGACUCCUACGGGAGGCAGCAGUGGGGAAUAUUGCACAAUGGGGGGAACCCUGAUGCAGCGACGCCGCGUGAGUGAAGAAGUAUUUCGGUACGUAAAGCUCUAUCAGCAGGGAAGAAAAAGGACGGUACCUGAGUAAGAAGCCCCGGCUAACUACGUG